rnacentral:tRNA from 1 species
GGCCCCGUGGUGUACCGGUCAGCACGCGACCCUUUCAAGGUUGAAGAACGGGUUCAAUUCCCGUCGGGGCUA